AAAUUGAAGAGUUUGAUCAUGGCUCAGAUUGAACGCUGGCGGCAGGCCUAACACAUGCAAGUCGAACGGUAACAGGAAGCAGCUUGCUGCUUCGCUGACGAGUGGCGGACGGGUGAGUAAUGUCUGGGAAACUGCCUGAUGGAGGGGGAUAACUACUGGAAACGGUGGCUAAUACCGCAUAACGUCGCAAGACCAAAGAGGGGGACCUUCGGG
rnacentral:rRNA from 3 species